GGGUUGUGAGGUUAAGCGACUAAGCGUACACGGUGGAUGCCCUGGCAGUCAGAGGCGAUGAAGGACGUGCUAAUCUGCGAAAAGCGUCGGUAAGGUGAUAUGAACCGUUAUAGCCGGCGAUGUCCGAAUGGGGAAACCCAGUGCAAUUCGUUGCACUAUCGUUAACUGAAUACAUAGGUUAACGAGGCGAACCGGGGGAACUGAAACAUCUAAGUACCCCGAGGAAAAGAAAUCAACCGAGAUUCCCCCAGUAGCGGCGAGCGAACGGGGAGCAGCCCAGAGUCUGAAUCAGCUUGUGUGUUAGUGGAACGGUCUGGAAAGUCCGACGGUACAGGGUGAUAGUCCCGUACACCAAAAUGCACAGGCUGUGAACUCGAAGAGUAGGGCGGGACACGUGGUAUCCUGUCUGAAUAUGGGGGGACCAUCCUCCAAGGCUAAAUACUCCUGACUGACCGAUAGUGAACCAGUACCGUGAGGGAAAGGCGAAAAGAACCCCGGCGAGGGGAGUGAAAAAGAACCUGAAACCGUGUACGUACAAGCAGUGGGAGCACCUUCGGGUGUGACUGCGUACCUUUUGUAUAAUGGGUCAGCGACUUAUAUUCUGUAGCAAGGUUAACCGUAUAGGGGAGCCGCAGGGAAACCGAGUCUUAACUGGGCGUUAAGUUGCAGGGUAUAGACCCGAAACCCGGUGAUCUAGCCAUGGGCAGGUUGAAGGUUGGGUAACACUAACUGGAGGACCGAACCGACUAAUGUUGAAAAAUUAGCGGAUGACUUGUGGCUGGGGGUGAAAGGCCAAUCAAACCGGGAGAUAGCUGGUUCUCCCCGAAAGCUAUUUAGGUAGCGCCUCGUGAAUUCAUCUUCGGGGGUAGAGCACUGUUUCGGCUAGGGGGUCAUCCCGACUUACCAACCCGAUGCAAACUACGAAUACCGAAGAAUGUUAUCACGGGAGACACACGGCGGGUGCUAACGUCCGUCGUGAAGAGGGAAACAACCCAGACCGCCAGCUAAGGUCCCAAAGUCAUGGUUAAGUGGGAAACGAUGUGGGAAGGCACAGACAGCCAGGAUGUUGGCUUAGAAGCAGCCAUCAUUUAAAGAAAGCGUAAUAGCUCACUGGUCGAGUCGGCCUGCGCGGAAGAUGUAACGGGGCUAAACCAUGCACCGAAGCUGCGGCAGCGACACUAUGUGUUGUUGGGUAGGGGAGCGUUCUGUAAGCCUGCGAAGGUGUGCUGUGAGGCAUGCUGGAGGUAUCAGAAGUGCGAAUGCUGACAUAAGUAACGAUAAAGCGGGUGAAAAGCCCGCUCGCCGGAAGACCAAGGGUUCCUGUCCAACGUUAAUCGGGGCAGGGUGAGUCGACCCCUAAGGCGAGGCCGAAAGGCGUAGUCGAUGGGAAACAGGUUAAUAUUCCUGUACUUGGUGUUACUGCGAAGGGGGGACGGAGAAGGCUAUGUUAGCCGGGCGACGGUUGUCCCGGUUUAAGCAUGUAGGCUGAUUGUCCAGGCAAAUCCGGAUAAUCAAGGCUGAGGUGUGAUGACGAGGCACUACGGUGCUGAAGUAACAAAUGCCCUGCUUCCAGGAAAAGCCUCUAAGCAUCAGGUAACAUUAAAUCGUACCCCAAACCGACACAGGUGGUCAGGUAGAGAAUACCAAGGCGCUUGAGAGAACUCGGGUGAAGGAACUAGGCAAAAUGGUGCCGUAACUUCGGGAGAAGGCACGCUGGUGUGUAGGUGAAGCCCCUGCGGGUGGAGCUGAGACCAGUCGAAGAUACCAGCUGGCUGCAACUGUUUAUUAAAAACACAGCACUGUGCAAACACGAAAGUGGACGUAUACGGUGUGACGCCUGCCCGGUGCCGGAAGGUUAAUUGAUGGGGUUAUCCGUAAGGAGAAGCUCUUGAUCGAAGCCCCGGUAAACGGCGGCCGUAACUAUAACGGUCCUAAGGUAGCGAAAUUCCUUGUCGGGUAAGUUCCGACCUGCACGAAUGGCGUAAUGAUGGCCAGGCUGUCUCCACCCGAGACUCAGUGAAAUUGAACUCGCUGUGAAGAUGCAGUGUACCCGCGGCAAGACGGAAAGACCCCGUGAACCUUUACUAUAGCUUGACACUGAACAUUGAGCCUUGAUGUGUAGGAUAGGUGGGAGGCUUUGAAGCGUGGACGCCAGUCUGCGUGGAGCCAACCUUGAAAUACCACCCUUUAAUGUUUGAUGUUCUAACGUUGGCCCCUGACCGGGGUUGCGGACAGUGUCUGGUGGGUAGUUUGACUGGGGCGGUCUCCUCCCAAAGCGUAACGGAGGAGCACGAAGGUUAGCUAAUCCUGGUCGGACAUCAGGAGGUUAGUGCAAUGGCAUAAGCUAGCUUGACUGCGAGCGUGACGGCGCGAGCAGGUGCGAAAGCAGGUCAUAGUGAUCCGGUGGUUCUGAAUGGAAGGGCCAUCGCUCAACGGAUAAAAGGUACUCCGGGGAUAACAGGCUGAUACCGCCCAAGAGUUCAUAUCGACGGCGGUGUUUGGCACCUCGAUGUCGGCUCAUCACAUCCUGGGGCUGAAGUAGGUCCCAAGGGUAUGGCUGUUCGCCAUUUAAAGUGGUACGCGAGCUGGGUUUAGAACGUCGUGAGACAGUUCGGUCCCUAUCUGCCGUGGGCGCUGGAGAAUUGAGGGGGGCUGCUCCUAGUACGAGAGGACCGGAGUGGACGCAUCACUGGUGUUCGGGUUGUCAUGCCAAUGGCACUGCCCGGUAGCUAAAUGCGGAAGAGAUAAGUGCUGAAAGCAUCUAAGCACGAAACUUGCCCCGAGAUGAGUUCUCCCUGAGACUUUAAGUCUCCUGAAGGAACGUUAAAGACGAUGACGUUGAUAGGCCGGGUGUGUAAGCGCAGCGAUGCGUUGAGCUAACCGGUACUAAUGAACCGUGAGGCUUAACCUUACAACGCCGAAG
rnacentral:rRNA from 2 species